UACAGAGGUCUCAAGCGUUGUUCGGAUUCAUUGGGCGUAAAGGGUGCGUAGGUGGCGCGGUAAGUCGGGUGUGAAAUCUCGGGGCUUAACUCCGAAAUUGCAUUCGAUACUGCCGUGCUUGAGGACUGGAGAGGAGACUGGAAUUCAUGGUGUAGCAGUGAAAUGCGUAGAGAUCAUGAGGAAGACCAGUGGCGAAGGCGGGUCUCUGGACAGUUCCUGACACUGAGGCACGAAGGCCAGGGGAGCAAACGGG
rnacentral:rRNA from 1 species